CUCAGGUUUAGUUCGUUCUCCUUCAUCUUUUAGAGACUAAGAUGGAGUGUAAGGGAACUCAGGCACAAUUUACCUCUAGCAGCUUAUGCCACUGAAGGAUGUGCUCAUCACAGUCCAAAGGCCAUGGUUUUGGUUUGUUUCCUGCUAUAUCGCUACUGCUGAGCUACGCAACAAGAACAUCACUGCAAGACGAUCCCAGGGGGAUUUAAAACAACAACAACAAAAAUUCUGUCCCUGAUUUUGAAUAUGACUGGUAAGAGAGAGAGCAAGGCCACCAAGUAAGCAGUCACACAGUAGACUAUUGGUUUAAGGAGAAAUCUAAGGCCAGCACUGAGGUUAGUGCUACGUCUGCUCUCUGUACGUUGUGGGUGGAUGCACAGAACAGUCAUAUAUUGCUUAUCUACAUGUGAGCCUCUGUAUUGUGUGCUUGUGAGUACCUGAGGGAGGAUAUUUGGUUUCUUGCUGCUGAGGUUGGUAGGCUCCAGUUCAUGCUCAGUUGUUCUCACCAUGCACAAACUGGGGGCUUCACAACAGAAAUGCUUAAUUGCAGCUGGCAUUUUGGACACUCUCAGUGCCUGUGCCAGUGGGCACUUGGCUGAAGAGAGACAUCCCUUCUGACACGAGCAACGUGAAAACUGCAGAGGAGACUGAAAUGCUGAACUGCUGGUUCAACAAUUAAGAACCUAAAAAAAAAAUCAAGCACUCCUAAACAGUUCAGUUCUAACUGCUAAAACACAAUCAAGAAGAAGAUAGGUUUCCAACUCUGUGCACAUAGGUCUUCUCAUUUUCUCUUCCCCUGCCCACUGUGCUGUCAGUGUGACAGUGAUGCACUCUGCUCUAAGAGGGCAGUCACCAGCAGCUGCCCGAGAUGCCAUCGUUAAUUAAAGUCUUGGUUCUCAAGUGCUGCUCAGAUUCAGCAAAAGGUGAGAAACGCCACCUCUGAGAGCCAUGAAAACAGAACUAUCUCUCAACCAAUAUCACUGAUGCUGAGCACUUCCAGGCAAAUAGCACAAAUGCUUGGUAUACCCAAAUCAAACUCAAAUACGACUUGAAGGAACAAAACUCCACCAUCACCAAAAGCUCUUAAUUCAACUUAGAAGCUACAUGAAGAGUGUAAGAAGGAGCUCUUCUUGCACUAGAUAAUGUUUUAGUACCCUUUUGAAGAAGAAAAUGAAUGGUGAGGUAUUAAUCUGAUCUGUUUUGUUAAGCUUAACACUGUAUCAGUAAUUUGCCCAUUUUGGACCAUAGGAAGCAUCUAGGCCUCUGGUUAAAGAGCAAACAGGAUACACAUCUACCCUUGACUUUCUGUAUCAGCACACUCGGAGCCAGGUGUGAAGUCCACACUUGCUUUUUCUUUCAAGAGCCAAGAAAUCCAAUAGAAUAGUUGGAGCAGGUUUCUGCUUCAGCAAGGACCCAAGCUUGUUUUGGGUCAAACAAGGAGUAGCAUUAAUCCUCCACUGAAUUGCAGCCCCCUUCAGGACAGAAACUGGCAGCAGUUUAAUGUGAUGGAGGAAUGUUACCCAUGAACUGAGGACAAAGCAAGGAAUGAUGUCUCCAUGGAAAAUGCAAUGAGACAUUAAUGGAGAGAAAAUAAUUACAGCUGGAAUUUGGAGGGGAUGUCAGGUUUAGCCCCUCUGUACUUGCAAAUAAUGCUGCAGGAUGUUUAGAAACCCUGCUGCUCACGUCACUACCUGCAGUGCUGCAUUGACUUGGGAGCUCUUAUCGUUUAUUGCUAUGCAAUUCUUUUUAAAAUGUAUGGAAUCUGACAAGAUAAUAUCUUGAGGUGGCACUCAAGCUUCAACUGCACUUCACUAAAUCUCAAAGAAUCUAUGCAUCGUUACCUUUCUGCCCUUUUCUUUUUCUCAUGUUUGUUGCACAGUCAAAGGAAACAGCUUUUUAUGUGAAUGAUGAUUAAUAAGCAGCCCUGCUGAAGGGUGACAGAGCUGGUGCUAAGAACAGGCUCCUUUGAUAGACAGUCUAAAAUGUGUUCUAACAUGUGAAAAUGAUAGGCUGUCAAGUCAUCAUUCAGGUGUACACUGAGAUAAUAACAUGCAUUUGAGAAAAAUGAUAAGGUAAAAUACACAUUUCUACAGUAUGAAGAUAAAUAGUGAAAUACAUACUUGCAUGCCUCUAUGUAAAGUAAGGAGAAAAAAAAAUCAAUUUAGAGUGGAAUUGUGAGUAGUCUGGACAUCUCUAUUGCCUUGUGCUUGAAAUAUCAUCUCAACGGAAUGUGUCGUGCUCUAUUUGUGCUUGAAUUAAAAAGCAUUUGCAGUGGCCAUGCUAUCAAAUCUUCCCACAUGGCUGAAGGCAUCUCAGGACAGGACUUUGUUUAAAGGUUAUGGCCAUAGUUUCAGUAUGUGAGUUUCUUGGCAGAAAUAGAAAUAGGAUCUUUCUGGAAAAUAGCACAAUUAACAGGAAGCGUCUAAUGAAAACAAAGCAGUAGAAUGUCUGGUUUGCUUGAUAUCAACAAGAAAACAUCACCUUUCUUAUUUAGGAAGAAACUUGACAAGUAGCAGCUGAAGUUGUGGACUAGUGAUAGUUUUUUGCUAUCUUUUUUGGAAGUGUACUGCAGCCUAGAAUCCCCUUCCCUGAUUGCUACUUUGACCUCUUAAGAACAACGUGCCCAAUCAUUUGAAGUUUAACCUUAGAAACAUGCAGUGAAUAACAGGCAUUUUCCAAUUCCUGUUCAUGUUGCCAUUUUCAAACAUCUGAUAAGUGUCAAGCCCUCUCCCUUUAUAAAACGUUUUCCCUUUUGUAUUAUGGAAAAACAAAUCAGCAAUGCCCAGAAUACCAGUGUGAACCAUGAGGGCAACUUUCCUCACCUGAGCAGAUUGCCCUGGGGAGACAGGGUAGAUACCCUUCGUGGAGCUGUUCCAAGCUCAAGCUCUUCAAGCCCAGCAUCAAAGCAACAACCCUCUGGCUCAGAGGUGAGAAAAUGAUGCCCCGAGGCACAGCUUCUGUGUCAGGCAGAUAGCAAGCAAUGGGCUCGUAAAACAAUAUUUGAAGACAGGUAAAAAAACAUGAGGGAAAGGGAAGAGUUUCUUAUUAGCUGCAAAGUAAGGCUUUUCGAUCACAAUCUAUGACAAAGAACAGCACUAUUUGGACAGUAAAUCACUGUGGCCCACUGAGGAACCUGUGCUGAUAACAGCCUGACAGGCCAGGGAAGAGGUUUAGGGCUUGCAGGGAAAAUCUUUCAUUCCAAACACACACAGCAGACCAGCAGAGGCAGGAGGAGCAGGUACAGGCAGGCAGUUCUGAACAGGAGGGUGAAAUGCUCUUUCAACUGAGAGGAGAGGAAAGCCCCUCUCUGAUGCUUUUAGCUGGGAAUAAAGAGGGCUGUCUUAAGAUUAAGGUUUUUCGACUUAUAUCCUCUUUCCAUCAGUUCCUGGGUCUAGUGACACAACCCAAAAUAAAAUUGAGUGUGCCCAGAGAUUCCCCUUCAUGCUCUAGGCAGGCAGGUGGCAGGGGAUGGGUGACCCGGCGUGUUGUACAUUUCCUGUAAAAUUUAAAAAUGUUUUUGGACCUGUUUACUUUGUAGUGUGUGAAUAUCACAUUCUUUCCCUUCCUUUUCCCUUCUUACUCUUCCCCUUGUUCACUUAGUUUUGUCCCCACAGCCACAGGGAGUUUAAUAUUGUGUAAUUUGCAUUGGCAAGAAGGAG